CUAAACGACUCUCGGCAACGGAUAUCUCGGCUCACGCAUCGAUGAAGAACGUAGCAAAAUGCGAUACUUGGUGUGAAUUGCAGAAUCCCGUGAACCAUCGAGUUUUUGAACGCAAGUUGCGCCCGAAGCCUUUUGGCUGAGGGCACGUCUGCCUGGGCGUCACG
rnacentral:rRNA from 3 species